rnacentral:lncRNA from 1 species
UUUUUUUUUGUUUUUUGUUUUUUUUUGUCUUUUUGGUAUUUCUUUGGGCCACUCCUGCGGCAUAUGGAGGUUCCCAGGCUAGGGGUCGAAUCGGAGCUGUGGACCCCGGCCUACGCCAGAGCCACAGCAACGUGGGAUCCCAGUCGCGUCUGCAACCUACACCGCAGCUCAUGGCAACGCCGGAUCGUUAACCCACUGAGCAAGGGCAGGGACUGAACCCGCAACCUCAUGGUUCCUAGUCAGACUCGCUAACCACUGUGCCACGACGGGAACUCCCUGGAAGUUUUAAAUAUGUAGAUUGCCAAAGGCCACUGAGACCAAGGAUAGAGUUGUUGAACUUUCCACCAUGGAAAGGAGUGGCCAUUGUUAGGUGUACCAGGUACCCAGUGAGGGUUUCUGGAAUAGAUGGACUUUUGUCUGGAUGUUGACCACUAUAGAAUGGUAUAGGAGACCAAGAGCAGCUUCCUGGCUAUGACAGUGGCUCAAAGCCAGAGCACAUAGAUCGGAAGUAUUUAGGUUUGUUCAGAGCUCUUGAGACCACGGACUUGUCUGGAGCAGAGAAACGCUCUAGAGAAUAAUAGGAGAUCACCUUGGAAAGCUAGCAUGGCGACAUUUCCAAAACCAAAACUUUGACACAAAGCCUACCGAAUUUAUAAAUGCUUUUGGGAUUAUGGGCCAGCAUAUUUUUUUUUAAUGAUUUUUACUUUUUCCAUUAUAGCUAUAGGUUUACAGUGUUCUGUCAAUUUUCUACUGUAUAGCAAGGUGACCCAGUCACACAUACAUAUAUACAUUCUUUUUCUCAAAUUAUCCUCCAUCAUGCUCCAUCAUAAGUGACUAGAUAUAGUUCCCAGUGCUAUACAGCAGGAUCUCAUUGCCUAUACAUUCCAAAGGCAAUAGUCUGCAUCUGUUAAUUCCCAGUCCAUCCCACUCUCUCCCCCUCCCUCUUGGCAACCGCAAGUCUGUUCUCCAAGUCCAUGCAUUUCUUUUCAUUUGUGCCGUAUAAUACAUUCCAUAUAUAAGUGAUAUUAUACGGUAUUUGUCUUUCUCUUUCUGACUUAUUUCACCUAGUAUGAGAGUCUCUAGUUUCAUCCACGUUGCUGCAAAUGGCAGUAUUUUGUUCCUUUUUAUGGCUAAGUAGUAUUCCACUGUAUAUAUACACCACAUCUUCUUAAUCCAUUCAUCUGUCGAUGGACAUUUAGGUUGUUUCCAUGUCUUGGCUAUUGUAAAUGGUGCUGCAAUGAACAUAUGGGUGCAUGUGCCUUUUCAAGCAAAGUUGUGUCCGGAUGUGUGCCCAAGAGUGGGAUUGCUGUGGUAGUUCUAUAGUCUUCUGGGGUACCUCAAUACUAUUUUCCAUAGUGGUUGUACCAAUUUAUAUUCCCACUGACAGUGUAGGAGUGUUCCCUUUUCUCCACAGCCUCUCCAGCACUUGUCAUUUGUGAACUUAUUAAUGAUGGCCAUUCUGACUGGUGCGAGGUGGUACUUCAUUGUAGUUUUGAUUUGCAUCUCUCUAAUAAUCAGUGAUGUUGAGCAUCUUUUCAUGUGCUUGUCGGCCAUCUAUAUAUCUUCUUUGGAGAAAUGUCUAUUUGGGUUGUUGCCUUUUUUUUGCUGUUGAGUUGUAUAAGUUGUUUGUAUAUUUUAGAGAUUAAGCCCUUGUCAGUUGCAUCGUUCGAAACUAUUUUCUCCCAUUCUGUAAGUUGUCUUUUUUGUUUUUUUUAAAGGUUCCCUUUGCUGGGCAAAAGCUUGUAAGUUUGAUUAGCUUCCACUGGUUUUUUUUGCUUGUAUUUCUGUUGCCUUGGGAGAGCCAGCAUAUUUGAAUCUGGGCACUCCUGGGCAAUGUGGGACCAUUGGCAGUGUGGGACCAAUGUUGGAUCAGCAGUUCCAAGAGAUCAUUUACAACUGGAAACCUCAGACCUCAGUCAUUAUACAGACAAGGAAAAUGAAGGCAAGUUUAACAACUUGCCUAAAGUCACACAGCUUUAAUCCUGCAAAGGCCAAGGCUAAAGUGAGUUCUCCUGUUUUAAUACCAUGCUUCCUGGAUGAAGGACCCUGAACCCUGGGUCGAGAUGAGAUGUGGCAAUAACGGGGACUUGGGAUAAAUCACUGCCCAGGGAAGCAACACGGUGAGUAGGGUGUUUGAGGAAGGAUAACGAUGUGUAAACUGGACAGUAAGGGUCUGAAGGGAGGGGAUUGUUGGGGGACCAACAGCAACAACCUCUCGGCAUGCGGCCAGUUAGGGGCUGGGCCUGACUGCCGGCUAUGAGAUUAGCCAGGAAAGAUCUAUGGAGAGACAUGGCAUCCCUCACUCUACACUUUCCCCAAUUUCCUUCUGUCUGUUCCUCAGAACUCACUUCAUUGCUUUCACUGCUUAUUUGUGGACACAACCCAGCACAAACUUUAGCCAGCUUGUAAAUCGUUUAGACAUGUUUUUAUUAGGCCACACUCUACACUUUUCAGAGCCAGUGCAAUACCCACUGGGAACUAAAAGGAAUCAGGCCCACUAAAAACUGUGAGUGGCUCUGAACUUGCGGCUUUCUCCAAAUGAGAUGGCAUUUAAAUAGGGAGCUGAGAAAGCCAAGAGGCCAAGAGUAUCUCACCUAAAUCACACUCUUUCUGUACCACUUCUGGCACUUCUGAUAUGCCCUCAAACCUCCAGUGUCCUUUGCUCCUGUGGGACAGCUGCCAGGUUCAUUCAGCACAAGAUAGGAGGCAUCAUAUUCAGCAUAUUCAGUCCAAAAGGGACCUUGAGGGUCAUCCCGGCUAAACCCUCAGGGAUUGGGGAACACAGGUGACUGAGGUGAAAACCAGACCAGAACCCCUAUCUCCUGAUGCCCUUCUAAACUACAGCCUUUCUCUCAUCUCUCAUUCCCCCUUCCUGAAAUAAAGUUCCAAAAUUAAAAAAAAAAAAUCAGUUCAAAAUUAUCAUAUUUGUGUAUUUGUACUAUAUUUGUGUAUUUUUCUAUAUAUAUAGAAAUAUAUAUAUAUUUUAUCUCUUCCUAUUGAUUCUAAUCUAUAUGUGAAUAUAUACAUACAUAUAUUAAAGUCAAUAGAGAUAUAAGUACAAUAAAUGCGAUAAAUUCAAAUGUUGCCUUAAAUAUAGUGAUUGAAUAGCAUUCUCUAAGUCAAAUUACCUUAGUGGGCAGUAAUGAAGACCUUUUUCCUUUAUGCUGUAUCUGCCAUCAGCAGUGACUAGUCGAUACAUGUUUUCCUUAUCAUAUCACUGUUCCUUCCCUCAGAAUGGCAUUAUGUUGUUCCUCGUUCUUGUCUCACUUUCCUUCGGUAACAAAUCUGCUGAAAGGAAAAGCCCUUACCAUAUUUAUCUUUGCAUGCCCAUGGUUCUUAGUAAUGUUUUGGACACAAUUGUUUGUUCUUCAUAAGGUUUUGGCACAGGGUUCACGCUUCAUAAACAUUUGAGGAAUUAUGCAUCCAAUAACUUGCAUUCAGUAUUUUUGCAAUGUUUUCCUUCACCACUUAAAGGAGAAAAGCCAGAGAGUGAAAUGAAUAUGCCACAUCGACUGGUGAAUUUAACAACCUGCUUUUCAAAAGAAAGCACCUGAGGAAGCUAUGGGCUUAGACCUAUAAUUCUGAAAUCCAAAUCACACAGAUGAGUCUGAACAGUUUUAUCAAGUCUUAGGAAACAAAUUAAAAGUUCAACCCAUGGCAAUUUUGGCAGAAUGAAAUGAAAUGUCAACUUGCAUGUAAGCCAAUUUUCUUUUCCACAAUCAAUGGGUCGUUUUGAGGCCCCCUCCAAAAAAAAAAAAAAAAAACUUCAAGAUUGUGUUUACUUAGAUUAUUUGUAAGAAAACUGCCUCCUUGCUUUUCUGUAAAAGUAAGAGGGGCAGAGCAGUUCCUAGACUCUUAGAUGCUUCAGCUAAAUGAGCACCAGUGCCAAUAAUUGGAAAUGAGAAAAAUGAUGCCAAACACUUGGCACCAGCUGCAGCAGUUAAGAAAGCACCUGCUUUAUGCUUCAUCUGCUGUCACCCCCUUCC